rnacentral:rRNA from 1 species
GACGAACGCUGGAGGCGUGAUUAACACAUGCAAGUCGAACGGAAAGGAACUGCUUUUGUGGGGAACUAAAAUGGCGAACGGAUGAGUAAACCGUGAGUAACCUGCCCUUGACUUUGGGAUAACUUCAGGAAACUGGGGCUAAUACCGGAUAGGAGCUCCUGCUGCAUGGUGGGGGUUGGAAAGUUUCGGCGGUUGGGGAUGGACUCGCGGCUUAUCAGCUUGUUGGUGGGGUAGUGGCUUACCAAGGCUUUGACGGGUAGCCGGCCUGAGAGGGUGACCGGCCACAUUGGGACUGAGAUACGGCCCAGACUCCUACGGGAGGCAGCAGUGGGGAAUAUUGCACAAUGGGCGGAAGCCUGAUGCAGCAACGCCGCGUGCGGGAUGACGGCCUUCGGGUUGUAAACCGCUUUCGCCUGUGACGAAGCGUGAGUGACGGUAAUGGGUAAAGAAGCACCGGCUAACUACGUG